AGGUCGCCGUCGUUGCUCCGCUCGCUCUGAGAGAGCAUGGCCCUGAGAGGCGUCUCCGUGCGGCUGCUGAGCCGCGGACCCGGCCUGCACGUCCUUCGCACGUGGGUCUCGUCGGCGGCGCAGACCGAGAAAGGCGGGAGAACACAGAGCCAACUGGCUAAGUCCUCGCGUCCCGAGUUUGACUGGCAGGACCCGCUGGUGCUGGAGGAGCAGCUGACCACAGAUGAGAUCCUCAUCAGGGACACCUUCCGCACCUACUGCCAGGAGAGACUCAUGCCUCGCAUCCUGUUGGCCAAUCGCAACGAAGUUUUUCAUCGGGAGAUCAUUUCGGAGAUGGGGGAGUUGGGUGUGCUGGGCCCCACCAUCAAAGGUAGGAACAAGUAUCUCUCCACACACUGCAGACCCCUCUGUAUUCUGAAAGCCUCUUCCUCCUUCCCUCCCUCCCUUUCUUCCUUCCUUCUCUUUCUUUUCUUUU
rnacentral:sRNA from 1 species